rnacentral:lncRNA from 1 species
UUCACAUCCUUGGUGGGACGGAGCAGGAAGGCUGGAGAUUUCAUCAAGCUACUCACAGCAGCAUGCCAUUUAAAAUUCAUGAAUUAUUUAUUUCUGGAAUUUUCCGUUUAAUAUUUUUGGACCACAAUUGACCUCAGAUUUUACUUUCUACUCUUGUCAGUCAUAUCUGCAAGGCUGACAGUUACCAGGGGCUGUGGCCAGGCAUGAGGGAGAAUGUGUCAUUGCUGGCUGCGUUGGUCAUAGCAACGUGUCUGCCUCAGAACAGAUCCAGCAUGGAUGAGCAAACAGAAAAAUGUGUAAGAAGGCUUGUGACUGAAACAGACCAAGGACUUCUCCUAUGGAGAAUGCAGCAAGAAAAUACCAUCUUGAAGCAGAGAGCAGCGCUCAUCAGGCAUCAGUCCUUCUGGAGCCUUGAUCUUGGACCUCCCAGCUCCAAAAUAAUAAGUAAUAAAUUGUUAUUGCUUAUAAAUU